UCGAGCGGACAGAAGGGAGCUUGCUCCCGGAUGUUAGCGGCGGACGGGUGAGUAACACGUGGGUAACCUGCCUGUAAGACUGGGAUAACUCCGGGAAACCGGAGCUAAUACCGGAUAGUUCCUUGAACCGCAUGGUUCAAGGAUGAAAGACGGUUUCGGCUGUCACUUACAGAUGGACCCGCGGCGCAUUAGCUAGUUGGUGAGGUAACGGCUCACCAAGGCGACGAUGCGUAGCCGACCUGAGAGGGUGAUCGGCCACACUGGGACUGAGACACGGCCCAGACUCCUACGGGAGGCAGCAGUAGGGAAUCUUCCGCAAUGGACGAAAGUCUGACGGAGCAACGCCGCGUGAGUGAUGAAGGUUUUCGGAUCGUAAAGCUCUGUUGUUAGGGAAGAACAAGUGCAAGAGUAACUGCUUGCACCUUGACGGUACCUAACCAGAAAGCCACGGCUAACUACGUGCCAGCAGCCGCGGUAAUACGUAGGUGGCAAGCGUUGUCCGGAAUUAUUGGGCGUAAAGGGCUCGCAGGCGGUUUCUUAAGUCUGAUGUGAAAGCCCCCGGCUCAACCGGGGAGGGUCAUUGGAAACUGGGAAACUUGAGUGCAGAAGAGGAGAGUGGAAUUCCACGUGUAGCGGUGAAAUGCGUAGAGAUGUGGAGGAACACCAGUGGCGAAGGCGACUCUCUGGUCUGUAACUGACGCUGAGGAGCGAAAGCGUGGGGAGCGAACAGGAUUAGAUACCCUGGUAGUCCACGCCGUAAACGAUGAGUGCUAAGUGUUAGGGGGUUUCCGCCCCUUAGUGCUGCAGCUAACGCAUUAAGCACUCCGCCUGGGGAGUACGGUCGCAAGACUGAAACUCAAAGGAAUUGACGGGGGCCCGCACAAGCGGUGGAGCAUGUGGUUUAAUUCRAAGCAACGCGAAGAACCUUACCAGGUCUUGACAUCCUCUGACAACCCUAGAGAUAGGGCUUUCCCUUCGGGGACAGAGUGACAGGUGGUGCAUGGUUGUCGUCAGCUCGUGUCGUGAGAUGUUGGGUUAAGUCCCGCAACGAGCGCAACCCUUGAUCUUAGUUGCCAGCAUUCAGUUGGGCACUCUAAGGUGACUGCCGGUGACAAACCGGAGGAAGGUGGGGAUGACGUCAAAUCAUCAUGCCCCUUAUGACCUGGGCUACACACGUGCUACAAUGGACAGAACAAAGGGCUGCGAGACCGCAAGGUUUAGCCAAUCCCACAAAUCUGUUCUCAGUUCGGAUCGCAGUCUGCAACUCGACUGCGUGAAGCUGGAAUCGCUAGUAAUCGCAG
rnacentral:rRNA from 1 species